GCCAGUGUGGUGUAGUGGUGUGAGCAUUGGACUAGGACUCUGGAGUUCAGGGUUCAAAUCCCCACUUGGCCA